rnacentral:rRNA from 1 species
GACGAGGGACCCUAGCGUUGUUCGGAAUCAUUGGGCGUAAAGCGUGCGCAGGCGGUUCGUUGUGUCUGUGGUGAAAGCCCCGGGCUUAACCUGGGAAUGGCCAUGGAAACUGGCGAGCUGGAGUGUGGCAGAGGGGGGUGGAAUUCCGCGUGUAGCAGUGAAAUGCGUAGAGAUGCGGAGGAACACCGAUGGCGAAGGCAGCCCCCUGGGUUGACACUGACGCUCAGGCACGAAAGCGUGGGGAGCAAACAGG